AGUGAACGCUGGCGGUAGGCCUAACACAUGCAAGUCGAACGGCAGCACAGUAAGAGCUUGCUCUUACGGGUGGCGAGUGGCGGACGGGUGAGGAAUACAUCGGAAUCUACUUUUUCGUGGGGGAUAACGUAGGGAAACUUACGCUAAUACCGCAUACGACCUACGGGUGAAAGCAGGGGAUCUUUGGACCUUGCGCGAUUGAAUGAGCCGAUGUCGGAUUAGCUAGUUGGCGGGGUAAAGGCCCACCAAGGCGACGAUCCGUAGCUGGUCUGAGAGGAUGAUCAGCCACACUGGAACUGAGACACGGUCCAGACUCCUACGGGAGGCAGCAGUGGGGAAUAUUGGACAAUGGGCGCAAGCCUGAUCCAGCCAUACCGCGUGGGUGAAGAAGGCCUUCGGGUUGUAAAGCCCUUUUGUUGGGAAAGAAAAGCAGCAGGUUAAUACCCCGCUGUUCUGACGGUACCCAAAGAAUAAACACCGGCUAACUUCGU
rnacentral:rRNA from 1 species